UGGAAUAUAUGCAGGAGAUAAGAAUAGUAUAAAUGCAGAGCCAAUCCUUUGUUCAAAUUGCGACCCUGGUGGAGUGUAAACUCCCCUCGGCCGCCCGCCCAGCGCUGUUUUGCUCACUUAACCGCCAUGCUUAAUUGAAUAAAGCUGUCCCUUUAUCGCACUAGACUUUGUCUGGUUUUGUCACAAGAAUCUACAACAAGGGAAGGCAGGCGAUAGAAAAGAUAGAAAGAGGCAAGAAUUGCGUAAAGCGGGGAUAGUCACCACCAGGAUCCAGCAACGGUCCCGUUGCACGACGUUCCGACGGUCCAUGGCAAAAGAGCAGGGGAAGUGCAGCAGUAGCGUGGCCAGUCUUGGGCAGCAAGAAUGUGCAGUUAUCAGGUAGGUUCAGGAAGAACUCCGGGAGGAAGAAGCAGGCCCUGGAGAGUCCGUCAGCAUGCAGACCUUCCUUAGUGAGGGAUCUGAUGGCAGACACCUUGGGGGGAGAGCAGUAGCAGAAGGCCAGCCUUAGGAAGCAAGCAGGUAGAGUGCAGAGCAAGUCCAGGAGGGAGCAAACAACUACUUCUUGUUCUUCAGCAUGCAGGUCUCGGGUCGCGAGGAAUCUGUCAGAAACCCUCUCUCUUCUUCAGCACGAGGAAUCUGUUGUCAGAAACACCUCUUCAUGAGGAAUCUGUAGUCAGAAACCUAAUCUUAUGGUUGUUCGUCCCUUUUUUAUCCUUCUGCCAACGUGGCAUUCCUGGGUGCUUGGGGAACAUUCAUGUGCAAAUACCCCCUGAGAUGGCUAUCUCCCUUGAGAUAAGCCCCCACAAAAGACUGCUUCCUGGCCAUUAAGCUCUGGCUUACCUCUCUCUCGUUGCCCUCGGCCUUGUCCAUCUGUGUCCCUCAGACAAAGGAUUUUGCACCCCCUGCCCAAGACUGGUCCACCUGUGUCCUCCAGACAAAGGACUUCUCAAACCUUGAUCAGGACUUGUUUGGACUUGUUCAUCUGUGACCCUCAGCAAGCUUUGAGACAAUGAUGCAAAACAAUAAACCCUUACAAGCCCUGAAGAGCUCUGUGAAUAAAUACCAUGAUUCUCUGCAGAUCUGGUUGAAGACUCCUGUUAACAGCUUUCUUUCCCAUUCAUGGCACCACUGCCGUCAGGAUCCAAAGCCACAUUGCUAGACUCUUUUCAGUAGUGCCCAGUACCAGGACAAGAAGUGAGCGAAAACUGGAACAUAGGAGUUUCCAUCUCAACUGUCAUCUAUGAUUCUGUGAUCUGGAAGAAAUUAUGAUACUUGCAGAAAUGGAAAAGCAGGCUUGGCACCAGACUCCAGUGAAAUGAACAGAUUCCAGGUGAACAUGAUGAGAACACAAUCUAACAAACAGCCAUGCUUUGGCUGCCUGCUCUGAUAGCAGCAGCUGCUUGGAAAACUAAGCUGCUUCACAAUUGAAAGAGUGUUGAAAGAAAUAUUUUUCAAAAUCAAGAGUGGAGGAUUUAUCAGUCCAGACUCGGAGAAUAUAGUGCAUGUUGUCCAGCUGUCACAUCACAAAGCUGAGAAGAAGACAUGCAAAAUGAAGAUGUAGGCACAAAGGCUGAAGGCAGAUGGGACCUGUAGUGAACUGCUGUGCUUGUGUUUCUUUCUGUUACUAAAAGGAAUUUGUUACGCUAGUGAUUUUAAAUGAUUUGUGGCUGACAGUUUUAGGUUUAAUAAUAGUAAACCAGACAACAUCUGGCAUGGUGAAAUAAAAUUAUUUGAUAUGUAACUUAGCUCACACCCCCAACACACACACACAAAUGAAAAUUAAUGUGCAAAUAAGAAACUUUUUUUGAAGUACAUAUUGAGCCAUCAUUUUUAAUGGAUAACAGAAGAACAUGGGAUGAAGAUUUUUUCCUGAAGUUUUAUUACAUAAUUAAUCCAAAUUUCUUUGUGUAAUUUGGAAGCUUAUAAUGAGAACAGGUAUUAUUCCUCCCCAGAUAUUACCAUCUUUUAAAGAUUUUUUUUAAUAUUUGUGUUAGUAUUAUGGUUAUUUCUGCUUUAGUUCUUCUUCUGAUGCCUUCUUGAAUGGGCAGUGUCAAGGCCAUGUUCAACAAUGGCAAAUCACAAAAAAAUAUUUUUUUCAUAAAGUCAUAAAUUCCUCUUCAUGAACUGCAAAUGAGUCUGUACAUGAAAAUGUGGUGCUCAAAUUCAUUGAUAAUGAGAGUAUACCUCACUGGAGUUUUUACCAUAUUACCUAAAAUGAAUGCGUGCUUUAAGACAUGUGUGAUUGGCUGAAUGACUCUGUAUUUCUGUGUGGCUGUGUGCAUGAAUACACAUGCAUGUGUACAGUUAUUUUAACUGGGAAUGUAAAGGCUCUAGAGGUGAGUCCGAAAUAGCAUAGAAGUCUACUGUUAUUUUGAUUAAAUAAAAUAUUAUUGCUCACAAUAUCUGUGAAAGAUCUUAAAGGUUGCUUGAAGUCAUUUUUAAAUGUUGCGCAUAUUACUUAUUACACUCAACAAGCAUAGCUAAUUGGCAUAACUGAGUACAUGAAUAACAAUAUGUGGCUUAAAACUACAAAAGAAAAGGAAAUUAUAUUUAUUUCCUAUAAAUAAAAUAUUACCUACUAUGUAUUAUUUAUAUUACAUAAAUUUAAACAAUGUAUAAUACAUGAGGAUAAAUUUACUGUAUUUGGAGCAAAAUUAACUGAGCUGUCUCUGAGGACCUUUAUUAAUAUUGCAGAACCAGUAUUAUACUACUGUAUAAUUGAUUUUUGAAGACUAUUUUGCAUAUGUUUUCCUAAAUCACAUCACUUAAGCUAGAAAAUUUUACAUAUCAUGGGCCAGGCAGAUAACACCAUGACAAAGGUGUGUUGUGAAGCAUGAGACAAUGUACUUUAAAAUUC
ensembl:lncRNA